CGGCUUGGGGGGGGGGUCGAGCCGCGGCCCCGCUCCGCGGAGCGUUGACGUUUUUUGGGGCCCGCAGGAGGGAACGGGGCGGCCGCGCCGGUCGCAGGGCGCCGCGGAGUCUCCGCGGCCGCUUGCCCCGGGCUGGGCCGCCCGCGAGCUUUCGGCGCUGCCUCCGUCGACGCCGCCGUUAAGGCCCCGGUCCCGCCGCGGCUCGGCGGCCGCUGAACUUCUCCUUGCGCUCCGGGAGCCGGACUGCCGACAGACGGAGAUAUUCGCGAGGACAGCGAGUUUGGAAUGCCGCGUAGAUAAAUUAGAAGUUUCGGAGAAUAUUGUGUGCCUCGCGGUGUGGAAGUAUUUUUACUUUCGCACAAACAAACAGCGGCCAGGCCUGCCUCACCACGGGAGCCAGUUUCUUAAAGCUGCGAGGUGCUGCGCGGGGCCAAGUUUCCCUGCUGCGAGCUGGGUUCUGACUUUCGGUGCAAUCGUCGUAUGGGAAGAUGGUGCCCCGCUCCGUCAGGGAGAUGAGGACCUGCGGCGCAGGCUUCUGGAAGGGCCUCGCGGUGCGGGCGCGCGUAAAGUGUUUGUCACGACAGAGAGGCAGAGGUUUGGUAACGGGCGGUGAGCAGAAGGAGAGCUGGUGGUGACUUAAGGGAGUAAACUGGUAGCCUCACAGAAGACACAAGUAUGAAGCCCUUCGCAUAUAUUUUUUCACAGUAUCAACUAGCAAGUGCUGCUUGACAGCAAUCUUUAAAUAAGAUAGAGUCACAGGGGGAUUUUGAUCGCAGAACAACAAUAGGUAUCCGCCUGGUGUCCUAGGCAUAUAAGUAAAUCCAUGAUGCUUUCACUGUUGCUGCCUAGACUUGGAGAAGCUUAAAGCUUUUACAGUCUAGAUCAUCACACACAUUUGGACACCGGCCCCGUUGGUUUCAAGUGUUAACUAAUAUUAGUGGAAAUGAAAUGCUUAAAUAUCUUUGAGGACUUUGGCCUAGAUGUUUAGGUUUCCACAAGCCUCUAGGCAACUAAAUCCAUGACUUGAACUCAGCUUUUUCUGCUGUGUCCUAGUGCGGUUCAGUCCCGCGGCUGCAGAUUCCGCACUGUUUGUAUGAAAGCAUCAGAGAAUCCUGGCGUUCCCAUAGCAUAAACAGUUCUCUCGCGCAAAGACCUAAAUGUUUAAGUUUGCAUUAGGAGAAACAUCACAUUAUUAUAUUCUGAAAAGGGUGACUGAAAUGCUCAGCAUACUUUCUCUGGCUAUCCAUUAUUUUGUUUACUUUGACUAUAUUCUUUCUUAUUUGUCUCUUAAGUAAACAGUUCUAAUCCACUACUGUACAUUCAAGCCACUUUUGUUAUUUAUUUCUGAACCUCCCUACUUUUUUAUGCAUCCUUUUGACAUCAGAUGACCAGAAGUAAACACAGAAUUCCUAGUGAGGGGAAACCACUGAUUUAUAUGGAUUAUUAUAAUCCAACCUCAUGCAAGCAAAAUCAAAAAAUAGUUUGACUACCUAAUGAUUCAGCAAUGCAGACUGUUGCCAAAAAUUUUAGCAUUUGUUAGCUUUACACUUGAGCAAAUGGAUUCUGAUGGAGAAUUUAACUUUCUGUUUUUUUAACUCUUAUCUUCAGAGUUU
rnacentral:lncRNA from 1 species